CUGCCCUGUGCCUCGCUCGGCCCAAUUUUUCCAUAGUUGGGUCUUGAGCUGGAUGCUCUUCUCAUUAAAAGUACAUUUCCUUCAUUGGUUUUGUGCUUGAGAUUAGUAAGGGGCUAGAUUGAAUUUCAGGAAUCUUCCAUUGAGUACGGUUGCACCAAGGUUUAAUAUACUCAUGGUGUAACUGUAAUUAUAAGACUUCACAUCU
rnacentral:snoRNA from 1 species